UCUUAUGUACAUGCCUACAACAUUAAUGCACCAGAUCCCAUCAAAACUCCGCAAUUAAGUGUGCUUGGGCUAGAGUAGUAUUGGGAUGGGUGACCUCCAGGGUAGUCCUAGUGUUUUACAUGCC
rnacentral:rRNA from 1 species